UUGAAAUCUGGCGUGCUCAGUGCGUCCGAGUUGUAAUCUAUAGAGUCGUUUUCCGUGCCGGACUGUGUCCAAGUCCCUUGGAACAGGGUAUCAAAGAGGGUGAUAAUCCCGUACUUGACACAAUGACCGGUGCUCUGUGAUACGUCUUCUACGAGUCGAGUUGUUUGGGAAUGCAGCUCAAAAUGGGUGGUGAGUUCCAUCUAAAGCUAAAUAUUGGCGAGAGACCGAUAGCGAACAAGUACCGUGAGGGAAAGAUGAAAAGCACUUUGGAAAGAGAGUUAAACAGUACGUGAAAUUGUUAAAAGGGAAACGAUUGAAGUCAGUCGUGACUGAGAGGCUCAGCCGGUUCUGCCGGUGUAUUCCCCUCAGUCGGGUCAACAUCAGUUUUGUUCGGUGGAUAAGGGCAGUUGGAAGGUGGCACCCUCGGGUGUGUUAUAGCCAGCUGUCGCAUACAUCGGAUGAGACUGAGGAAUGCAGCUCGCCUUUAUGGCCGGGGUUCGCCCACGUUCGAGCUUAGGAUGUUGACAUAAUGGCUUUAAACGACCCGUCU
rnacentral:rRNA from 1 species